rnacentral:rRNA from 1 species
UACGUCGGUGGAAAGCGGUGUCCGGAAUUACUGGGUGUAAAGGGCGUGUAGGCGGGACUGCAAGUCAGAAGUGAAAUUCCCAGGCUCAACCUGGGGGCUGCAUCUGAAACUGUGGUUCUUGAGUGCUGGAGAGGAAAGCGGAAUUCCUAGUGUAGCGGUGAAAUGCGUAGAUAUUAGGAGGAACACCAGUGGCGAAGGCGGCUUUCUGGACAGUAACUGACGCUGAGGCGCGAAAGCGUGGGGAGCAAACAGG